AAGUCGUACUGGGGGCACUUUCUGAUCAAUUCUUGGAAUCCGGUCCAAGCUGCACAUAGAGUUUCUCCUGGCUGUUGAGUGAAGUUGGUAAUUUCAUUAACCAACUU